rnacentral:sRNA from 1 species
GCCCCUAUAGCUCAGUGGUAGAGCGUCAGUCUUGUAAACUGAAGGUCUGUAGUUCGAUCCUGCAUGGGGGCAUUUUUUUAUACUUUCGUUUUUAUUUCUUCUUGCUUGAGUUCCUCACAAAGUUGCGCGAUUGAAGCCUGGAUCUUAAACAAACGGGCUCAGGCCCAACCCAACCAAGACUACAACUAAGCCCAGACCCGCAAACUACAAAAGCUUCCUUCCGCGGCCCUAAUGGCAUUAUCGUUAUACCACAAAAACCAAGGGUUUCUGGUGUACGUCCAACCCGCCGCACUCUUCGAUAUAAACCCGCGUCCCUGCCAUCCCCCAACCCUAACUUCGGUAGCCGCCGCUCCUCUCGGUUUGCAACUCCAUUUUUUUACUCCGACUAGCACUUACAAGUAUUCUAAUUUAGGGUUUGGGGGUCGCUUCUGAUAGGCGUUACGUUCAUCGGCUGCUUUGUAAUUCCAGAAGGACGUGUCAACGGAAGCGUAAAUCAGCUUCGGUUUCCAUCCCAAAUUCAUCAAAAACAGCUACGCAUUUUUCGAAAUGGUCGUAGGUUGUUGUCUGGUUUUGGGCCGGAGUCGAGACGUUGUCUUACAAAUCACUGUCGGUGUUUUCUUCGAAAUUGUCGUAGUUGCUUCAUAUGGUGAACGCCCUGUAAAUUUCGAUUGUGUUGGGGAUGUUCUAGUUUCCGGAGCGUAGAUUAAAAUUAAGAAUUACCAGCACUAAACAGCACCGUGUCUGCUUUUUGCUUUUGCACCGUGUUACCUGUCUCCUGGUACAAAU